rnacentral:rRNA from 1 species
CCUACGGGAGGCAGCAGUGAGGAAUAUUGGUCAAUGGCCGAGAGGCUGAACCAGCCAUGCCGCGUGCGGGACGACGGCCCUAUGGGUUGUAAACCGCUUUUUUGAGGGAGCAAUAAGGCCCACGUGUGGGUUGAUGAGAGUACCUUGAGAAUAAGCAUCGGCUAACUCCGUGCCAGCAGCCGCGGUAAU